CUGUGGUUUUAGCAAACAAUUUGGAUCCUUCUAGGGCUUGGGAGAGGAGGCCUGGGCCCCUUCCUUCUCAGUGGUGACAACCCUGCAGUUCGACUACCAUCACACACCCAUGUCACAGAUGAGAGGCCAAAGCCCAGAGAAAGCACAUCACCUGAGCCUCGGACAACAGUCGCUCUGUGGCCCUGGAGUGCUGCUGGGCCAGUAUGACAGUGACCAUUUAUGCAGACUCACCAAGGCAUUAUCUCAGUGACUCCUCCCGGAGACUCACCUGUCACCCCACCUGCCGACAGCUCCUGGGAAAAUGAUGAAGACGAGCUCUGCCAUCCGAUGGCUCUUUACAACCUGCAAAAUGCUCUCGCAGCCCUGACGCAUCUGAGCUUCCUACAAGCCCAGCAGCUGCAGGCUCUGCUAUCUUGUUUAAGGAUGAAGAGACCAAGGUACUUAGCGAAGAAGUGACCGGCUCCUGGUUCCUUGCCGUUUGGACACAACCAAGAACUCCAACCGUGGCCUUUCCAUUCCCUGUUUGCUUGUUUACCUUCCUGUCAAAAACAAUGUUUGCAAGCAUCCAGUGCCAUUCAUCUUGCUGUCUUCUCCCUGAAUCUGAUCAAAACCCUGAUAAUGAUAACAGUCAUACAGCGGCUGCUUUUAUUGAGUUCUUACUAUGUGCUGGGCACCUGCUUAAUGUUUUAUAAACAUCAAC